GUGCCAGCAGCCGCGGUAAUACGUAGGGUGCGAGCGUUGUCCGGAAUUAUUGGGCGUAAAGAGCUUGUAGGCGGUUUGUCGCGUCUGCUGUGAAAGCCCGGGGCUUAACCCCGGGUCUGCAGUGGGUACGGGCAGACUAGAGUAUGGUAGGGGAGACUGGAAUUCCUGGUGUAGCGGUGGAAUGCGCAGAUAUCAGGAGGAACACCGAUGGCGAAGGCAGGUCUCUGGGCCAUAACUGACGCUGAGAAGCGAAAGCAGUGGUAGCGAACAGGAUUAGAUACCUGGUAGUCCAUGCCGUAAAC
rnacentral:rRNA from 1 species